UGCUUUUUGUGUACCUAAUAAGUAUGAACAAUCAACAGAUUCUCUUUUAAUUAUGGAUAAUAAACGACCGACACAACCAUAUCAUUUAUAAUCAAAAUCAGGGAAAUGGAAACGCUUAAAACGUCAAAGCGAUAGAAACGACCAUACGGAAGAUUCGUCUUCAUCUAAUAGUGAACAUAGUGCAUGUCGAGGUCCAUGUUCUCAUUCACCAUCCCAUUACAGUCAAUCUUCUCCUGUUCAUGAUCUUUUUUCUUCUUCAUCAGAAACUGACCCGAGCACAUUUGAUUCUCUUUCUAUGGUACUUUUAAAUUAUUGUGUAUGUUUCUCAUAAAAUAUGUUUUUGGCCUAUAAAGUAGGUAUGUUGUCACUCCCUAGGAAUACAACUCAAAUAAUAUUAUUCAUUUGUUAGUGUUGGAAGUUAAUUCCUGGGUUUUAGACUUUGAAAAUCGCAUUCUAUGAAAUUCUUGUUCAUGUCUUUUCAUAAAUGUUGUCUAAGUUUCUAAGUGACUACCCACUACCCAGUACAAUAAUUUAGUUACUCCAUUUUUAGUUCACUUAGUUAAUAGGAAUACAAAUUUAUUCAUGAAUAAAGAAAAUUAAAACUUUAUUUUUUUUGUUAGAUCAAACACCGGUACUGCUCCAGCAGACAUCAAUGAGGAACUUUCCAAAGUUGAGUAGAUUAUUUGUAAGUAGAGACGUUAGAUAUUUAGGGUAUUUUUAAUAUGUAUUUUGUAUUAUCUAUUGAUUUAUUUC